ACUACCGGAGGAAGAGAACACACCUCUCAACUCGGGUUCAGCGCUGCAGACGAGGUUCCGGGCACACCCCUGAAUCCCUCAUACAUGAACAAUCUGGACGGAUAAAGCUCUCUAAUCUCCAAUUCUUCUAGAAGAUAACUUGGCACGGGGAGGUAGGGUACGACAAAAUGUAUUGUCCAAGGGGUCUGUCUUUGUCACAGACGCUUAACUUCUCCACUGACAGCGUCUCCUUUCAAACCACUCUACACAGAAUGCCAUUCAUACUUUCAGAUUGUGUCUCACAGAGCUGCUCUUGCACAGGGCAACCUGUCUCCUGCAUCUUCCAAUCUGAAGGGUUUUGGCGCCAGGCUAAACAACAGACUACAGACACUGUACUCCACGGCUCUGGUCCUUCCAGCUGACAGGGCUGCCUGCACCCAACCCGCCCCCUCACCACUGAAGCGGGGCGUCGCUCGUAAUAGGGUGGCGGCCGCCAUUGUGGGACUACACGGCGACCGGGACCGAAAAUUAGGCACCGGGAACCCGCGCGUGCAGGGAAGGACGGGCACUUGCGACUACAGAUCACUUCCGGCGGAAACGAGGGUCGGGAGAGCGAGUUUGGGAGCCUCUAGCCGCCAGUUUUUAUGGCCAUGACCACUGAUAUCCGGGUACAAGGCGGAAGAGGAGGAUUUUGUCUCGCGGGGAAGGACACAAUUUCUACAGUUCAGCCUGAGGGGCUGUUUUUAGGAGGAAAGUGCGCAGCAUCCCACAAUGCACCAGCGCCCUCGAAGGCUUAUGGGCGUUGUAGUUUCCGGGGCGGCAGGCGUUUGCUUAGGGCUGGGUUCGAGUCAUAGGGAAGAUCUCCCAGCCUGUGAGAAGUAAAAAUAACUGGAGUUAGGAUUGGAUGAGGUCCGGAGAGUUCCAGUCCUCAUGUCUCUUGCAGGAAUCCUGUUUCUUCUCUCUCCCUCUCCCCUCUCUUUCUCUCUCUCUCCCUUACUUUUCCUCUUCUUUCUUCUGAGACAGGGUCUCACUCACUACAUAUCUUUGGCUGGCCUGGAACUCGCCAUGUAGAUCAGGCUGGUGUUCUGCCUCUAGAGGGAUCCGUCUGUCUCAAUGCUGGGAUUAAGGGUGGGCACCCCCACGCCCGGAUGAAUUAUCUGGGUGAUAGCGCCACCCGUCUUAUUUUGUUCUUGUAAAGAAACACCGAGGUUGAACACCAGCUUUGAGAACCGACAACCUGAAUCUUUAGUCUCCAGGGCGGAGCACAUAGCAGAUAGCCGGUAAAUGCCUGUUGGCUAAAAGUGUAAGGGCGGCAACGACUUUGAACUUUCAUGUUCGUGUUUUCUCACAGCUUCCUCGUCUCUCCUGAGGUGAUAAUAGAAGCUGCUCAACUCUUGACCUCCUUUCUGAAAUUUGCCCAAUAAAAACUCGAUUGACAGAA